UACGUAGGGACCGAGCGUUGUCCGGAAUCAUUGGGCGUAAAGAGCGUGUAGGCGGCCUUUUAAGUCCUGCGUGAAAUCCUGCGGCUCAACCGCAGACGGUCGUGGGAAACUGGAAGGCUAGAGUGCGGGAGAGGAGAGUGGAAUUCCCGGUGUAGCGGUGAAAUGCGCAGAUAUCAGGAGGAACACCAGUGGCGAAGGCGGUGCUCUGGGCCGGAACUGACGCUGAGGAGCGAAAGCGUGGGGAGCAAACAGG
rnacentral:rRNA from 1 species